AAUUGAUCCAUACUUGCAAUCCAAUUCAGAUUUUGCGAUUUAUGUCAAAUUAAUUGCGUUCAAUUCUCACCUCCCACAGACUACUUUAACUUAGCCGGAUUUCAAGAAGUAACAGCAACUCCCACACACGCACACAAACACACAGACACACACACACAUACAUAUACCAUCACAGAGCUGGCAAAUUAAUUGCUCAUCUACGUGAUUGUAGGCUCCACCUCCGCGUCUAGUCACAAAUGUGGGAACGUGCCGGGUGACGGGUUGGAAACUUGAGUAGGGUCAAAAGUGAGCGAUUUGCAGACAGAAGAGACCAAUACAGAUGCAGAUACAGAUACAUAUAUAGAUACUAGAUGCUAAACCUUAGAGUCACGUCCGUGUCGGCAGCUUAACCCAAAGUUGACCCACAUAAUUCAGCUGAUGCGUUUGUAGCGAUCAUAGACAUCAAUGAGGAGCAGCGUGUGGACAGCAUAGAUGAGCACACAGACGAUGCAGCAAUCGUAGAGCACCAGGAGCAACAGGCCUCCAAGGUAGAAGCACAACAAGAGGGUGACAAUGGCAGCCAUGAGUUGCAGCUGGCAAAUCCAACGACGCUCAUAAAAAGCUGAAGGAUAAAGGAUUACAUGAAUAAAAUAUCUUUCUAAGUUAUAAUUAUGUCUUGGAAAGAAAGAGCAGCACAUAGAAAACAAUGCCAAUGGAACCGUUGGGCGGAUUCAAAUAGGUGGAGGAUGAACCAAAUAUUAGCUGUGUCAAACCAAAGCCACGACCAUAGCUGCUGGCGAGGAUUAGACAUGAUAUAUGGAUUGUUAUGUAUUAUGAUGAACUCACUCGGAUUUAAAUACAGCUGUGCAGCUGACCUGUUCCGCCAGGUCGCACAUG